GGGCGUUAAGUUGCAGGGUAUAGACCCGAAACCCGGUGAUCUAGCCAUGGGCAGGUUGAAGGUUGGGUAACACUAACUGGAGGACCGAACCGACUAAUGUUGAAAAAUUAGCGGAUGACCUGUGGCUGGGGGUGAAAGGCCAAUCAAACCGGGAGAUAGCUGGUUCUCCCCGAAAGCUAUUUAGGUAGCGCCUCGUGAAUUCAUCUCCGGGGGUAGAGCACUGUUUCGGCUAGGGGGCCAUCCCGGCUUACCAACCCGAUGCAAACUGCGAAUACCGGAGAAUGUUAUCACGGGAGACACACGGCGGGUGCUAACGUCCGUCGUGAAGAGGGAAACAACCCAGACCGCCAGCUAAGGUCCCAAAGUCAUGGUUAAGUGGGAAACGAUGUGGGAAGGCCCAGACAGCCAGGAUGUUGGCUUAGAAGCAGCCAUCAUUUAAAGAAAGCGUAAUAGCUCACUGGUCGAGUCGGCCUGCGCGGAAGAUGUAACGGGGCUAAACCAUGCACCGAAGCUGCGGCAGCGACGCUGAUGCGUUGUUGGGUAGGGGAGCGUUCUGUAAGCCUGUGAAGGUGUGUCGUGAGGCAUGCUGGAGGUAUCAGAAGUGCGAAUGCUGACAUAAGUAACGAUAAAGCGGGUGAAAAGCCCGCUCGCCGGAAGACCAAGGGUUCCUGUCCAACGUUAAUCGGGGCAGGGUGAGUCGACCCCUAAGGCGAGGCCGAAAGGCGUAGUCGAUGGGAAACGGGUUAAUAUUCCCGUACUUGGUGUUACUGCGAAGGGGGGACGGAGAAGGCUAUGUUGGCCGGGCGACGGUUGUCCCGGUUUAAGCGUGUAGGCUGGUUUUCCAGGCAAAUCCGGAAAAUCAAGGCUGAGGCGUGACGACGAGGCACUACGGUGCUGAAGCAACAAAUGCCCUGCUUCCAGGAAAAGCCUCUAAGCAUCAGGUAACAUCAAAUCGUACCCCAAACCGACACAGGUGGUCAGGUAGAGAAUACCAAGGCGCUUGAGAGAACUCGGGUGAAGGAACUAGGCAAAAUGGUGCCGUAACUUCGGGAGAAGGCACGCUGACACGUAGGUGAAGUGAUUUACUCAUGGAGCUGAAGUCAGUCGAAGAUACCAGCUGGCUGCAACUGUUUAUUAAAAACACAGCACUGUGCAAACACGAAAGUGGACGUAUACGGUGUGACGCCUGCCCGGUGCCGGAAGGUUAAUUGAUGGGGUCAGCGCAAGCGAAGCUCCUGAUCGAAGCCCCGGUAAACGGCGGCCGUAACUAUAACGGUCCUAAGGUAGCGAAAUUCCUUGUCGGGUAAGUUCCGACCUGCACGAAUGGCGUAAUGAUGGCCAGGCUGUCUCCACCCGAGACUCAGUGAAAUUGAACUCGCUGUGAAGAUGCAGUGUACCCGCGGCAAGACGGAAAGACCCCGUGAACCUUUACUAUAGCUUGACACUGAACAUUGAGCCUUGAUGUGUAGGAUAGGUGGGAGGCUUUGAAGUGUGGACGCCAGUCUGCAUGGAGCCGACCUUGAAAUACCACCCUUUAAUGUUUGAUGUUCUAACGUGGACCCGUUACCCGGGUUGCGGACAGUGUCUGGUGGGUAGUUUGACUGGGGCGGUCUCCUCCUAAAGAGUAACGGAGGAGCACGAAGGUUGGCUAAUCCUGGUCGGACAUCAGGAGGUUAGUGCAAUGGCAUAAGCCAGCUUGACUGCGAGCGUGACGGCGCGAGCAGGUGCGAAAGCAGGUCAUAGUGAUCCGGUGGUUCUGAAUGGAAGGGCCAUCGCUCAACGGAUAAAAGGUACUCCGGGGAUAACAGGCUGAUACCGCCCAAGAGUUCAUAUCGACGGCGGUGUUUGGCACCUCGAUGUCGGCUCAUCACAUCCUGGGGCUGAAGUAGGUCCCAAGGGUAUGGCUGUUCGCCAUUUAAAGUGGUACGCGAGCUGGGUUUAGAACGUCGUGAGACAGUUCGGUCCCUAUCUGCCGUGGGCGCUGGAGAACUGAGGGGGGCUGCUCCUAGUACGAGAGGACCGGAGUGGACGCAUCACUGGUGUUCGGGUUGUCAUGCCAAUGGCACUGCCCGGUAGCUAAAUGCGGAAGAGAUAAGUGCUGAAAGCAUCUAAGCACGAAACUUGCCCCGAGAUGAGUUCUCCCUGAGACUU
rnacentral:rRNA from 1 species